rnacentral:rRNA from 1 species
UACGUAGGGGGCAAGCGUUGUCCGGAUUUAUUGGGCGUAAAGAGCGUGUAGGCGGUUUGGUAGGUCCGUUGUGAAAACUCGAGGCUCAACCGUGGAACUGCUGGGUAUACUGCCUGUCUUGUGCAACCUAGGGGCGAGCGGAACAGAUGGUGGAGCGGUGAAAUGCGUAGAUAUCAUCUGGAACGCCAAUGGUGAAAACAGCUCGCUGGGGGUUUGCAGACGCUGAGACACGAAAGCCAGGGGAGCGAACGGG